AGGAAGUAAAAGUCGUAACAAGGUCUCCGUAGGUGAACCUGCGGAGGGAUCAUUACACAAAUAUGAAGGCGGGCUGGAAUCUCUCGGGGUUACAGCCUUGCUGAAUUAUUCACCCUUGUCUUUUGCGUACUUCUUGUUUCCUUGGUGGGUUCGCCCACCACUAGGACAAACAUAAACCUUUUGUAAUUGCAAUCAGCGUCAGUAACAAAUUAAUAAUUACAACUUUCAACAACGGAUCUCUUGGUUCUGGCAUCGAUGAAGAACGCAGCGAAAUGCGAUAAGUAGUGUGAAUUGCAGAAUUCAGUGAAUCAUCGAAUCUUUGAACGCACAUUGCGCCCUUUGGUAUUCCAAAGGGCAUGCCUGUUCGAGCGUCAUUUGUACCCUCAAGCUUUGCUUGGUGUUGGGCGUCUUGUCUCUAGCUUUGCUGGAGACUCGCCUUAAAGUAAUUGGCAGCCGGCCUACUGGUUUCGGAGCGCAGCACAAGUCGCACUCUCUAUCAGCAAAGGUCUAGCAUCCAUUAAGCCUUUUUUCAACUUUUGACCUCGGAUCAGGUAGGGAUACCCGCUGAACUUAAGCAUAUCA
rnacentral:rRNA from 1 species